ensembl:piRNA 21ur-9690 ncRNA
UAUGAUAUCGAAGAGCUUGAG